rnacentral:lncRNA from 1 species
UUCGUCGUCGUCGCCGCCGUCUGUAACCACUGUAUUUUUGGAGCCUCACCUCACAAUUUGAGUGCAAAAUUCAGAAACAAAGAGAGGAAGUGGAUCGAGAGGACGGGUAGGAAGAAAAGCAUACCUGGCAGCAGCGGAUCCCACACCAGUGCUCCUCCAGGAUCCACCUGACACUGCUUCCCUGGCCCUGCUACAAGGAGGCAACAAAAUCAAGAAGUUCAGUGUUCCUAUGGAACCUAUAAUAGAUCAUAUCAGUAUGAUCGUGAGCAUCUAUAUGCAAGAGAGAGAACAUAAAUUGGUUCAUCAUGACCCACUUGCUGACCCAUUGCUAGAAAGCCAAGUGAAAUGACUUCAUUACAUGUGAUGAGCACAGUGAGAGAUCUAGCUCUGCACUAAUAAACUAUAGAAGUGUUGGAAAGCUAAACAAAAUCCCAAAACGAUCCUCAUUAUUAAGCAUGGAUGAUUAGGGCUAAGUAACUUUCCGUUCAAUAGGGCAUGAUACAAAAAGUAAUGUAAUUAACAUGAAGACUCGCUUCAAAAUCAUCGAGAUGCUUUGUAGCAUCAAUGGAGAUGUUUGCCAGUAUUGUAUUUGAAGCUUUCCUGAACCAGUUAAGUAUUCAACUCCCAGCUGAUCCUGGAUAAGAAGUUCAGGGAAGAAGAUACCAUCAUAAAUAUUUAGUAACUUGACUUGAAUAAAUCCUUUGUUUGUCAUUAAUUAAUCCAGUUAAUGCAUACAAUACACAGGUAGGUGAACUGUUGAUUGCUGAAAGAUGUAUUGCACAUAUCUCCAAAUCAGCACUAUAAAUAGUACUGUUAUUAAAUUAGCACAACUAAAAAUAUAUUAAAUAAUAUGCAUGAAAAUGCUCAUGGAUUAAUUUCUCUAGCUUCUAUUGUCGAGACAAUAGCUCUGCUCUCUUUAGUGGUGAAGUUUUUUCAUGAUACACGAGAUGAACACAUUGAAAUAAAGAAACUGAAUCGAGAUCUUAUUUGGUCUGGCAUCCAGGUAAAAGGUGAACGCCAUACACCAACAACCAUGAACAUAAAGGUAAAUAGAAGCAACGACAAUAAAAAAAUCAUGAUAUUACCUACUGCCCCAACAAUUUAUCCUCAUGUUGGAUCCAUAACAGGGAGGAGAGACGAGAUGCAAGUUGUACCUGAGGCGCGCAUGCGACCAAGGGCACGCACGAACGAAUUGAUAAGAACCCAAGGCUCACACGACGCCUCUGCUGCUCCUGCAGCACGCAUCCAUUUCAACAUCAUUCUUCACGAUGUCAAAGACGAGGAGGAGAGAGGCGGCUGCUUGGCCAACGACCAGCCACAACACCCUUCAGCAACCCGACUCGACCCCGUCUUCCUCCACAUCCUGGUCGGCGGCGCCUUCCCGUCACUACUCGACUGAUUAUAUUAGGGUGCGAGACUGUGAAUAGACUCACAUGCCGAACUUCACUGCCCUUGUACAUAUUCGAACUUGGUCUUCAAGCAGUUUCACUUGUAGGUGGCCAGAGAUUUGCAUCAAUGUCAUAUGUUCAACAAUCUCUUCAGCGACUGAAAUAUUCUUAUCCAUGGCUGGAAGCAACAAAGUAUAUCCAAUGAAUAGUGCUCAAGCCAUACACUAAAAUACGAAGACAUGUUCCAGAAAACCAAUUCAGUUUGCAAGGAAAUACAUUCCUCUAAUAGAGACCUGAAAAAAUAACAGAAUAUUUUCAGGUUUGCAAACGCAUACCAGCAAACAAGAACAUAUCAACUUGAAGAUUAACUGAGGCUUCACUACCUUAAACUGAGAAAGAAAAUAAAGAUAUCACAGGGGAAGUUUGGAUGUACCCAAUUCCUCAUAGCAUCCCCUGCCGGCCUGUCUCCAGACGACGAUGGUGACUCAUCAAAGUAAGACAGUACAGUAAUCAGGAUAUCUUACAGUUAACAAUGUAUAACAAAAAAGAAAACUUAUAAAUAAUAUGUUCUACGACUGAAUUUAUAUUAAUGAGAGGCUCAUCUAACUUGAAGGGAUAACCAAAUUUAACCAAUUGAACAGAGAAUCAAAUUUAACCAAUGAGCUAAAGUUGCCUUGAGAUGCUAUAUAAAGUAUAACCACUGUAAAUCAAAUCCUUACCGCGGGCUCAUUUGGAUUCUUUUUAAUAGCUGCAGUAUUGUGAGAUGCCCCUUCCUGAUAUUUUAUCUUGUAAAAUAGUUCAUUGCCUGCAACAUGCAUAGCGGGUACAUUCAGAUUCUAGAAGCAGCGGUAUUUGCGGACUAAUUUGGCAUCAUAAUGAUAUCAUUCACUUAUUCCCGAGUAGAUCGCAUCACCUCCGCCCCCCUGCAGGAAACACAGAAAAGCUUCGUCAUCUCAAGCAUCAGCAUGAACUCAUUGAAGCACAGGUAUAACAUAGGAAUGAACUGAAGGUUAGCACCACAGAUGCACAUGUCUAAAUUAAAAAAUAUAUAACGCUACUUAUGCAAACACCACGGCACCACACAGCAAAUCAGCUGACGGCUUAGUAUUCUUCUGUAUCGAACAUCUAAAAACUUAUUCACAGAUGUCAGUAUGUUCCGUAAUCAGACGGUGGUCCAUUUUAUAACUAAGAAAUUGCCUCCGUUCUCAUCGAAGAACUGCAACAUUAACGAAACCAGAGUGUAUCAAUUUGUGUAGUACCGCUUUAAUCCUCUCAGAUGCUUGCGGAUCCGGCUUCACUCCACACUGUUCGGACUACGCCGGCUCGCUGUCCCUGCUAUUAGCAUCGUCCGCAGUGGUGCCGCCGCCAUCUAAAUUCACCGCCACCUACGAAUCUUGCCCUCUCGUCGGCUACCCAUGUCAAUUCUCUCUUUCAUAUCCGAGCUUGCUGGCCCAACUACGUCUGAAAAGAUUGGCACCCUGGCACGGAGGCGGGGUUAAAACGCCAGAUAUGAGCAAACACGACAUCUACAAAACCACCGCUACAUGCAUUCACAAAGAAGGGAUCACCUAAAGACCUUAUCCACACGGAAAUGACCGGGGGCACCGGAGGGGUGGGAAACGGCGUCGGGCCCGACCUCUGGCUUCCAGCCAUAUAGCAUACAGCUCAGGGAGAGUCGCCUACCUCUCUCAAAUAUGCAGAAAUGAAAUAGAAGGCAUGUAGUAUGAAAGGACCUCGGUUUAUUGUGCUUGACAUGGUUCUGCAGAAAAUACCAAAAACAAAGCUAAUGGCAGGCAAUGAAUAUUAUGUGCAGAAAACACACCUCCGAUCAACAUAUUCAAGAAAAAACUUUCUCAAAGGACACAGAGUCAGAUAAUUUGCAUUAGGACACACAAAAAAUACAGCAUAACAGACAUGGUAAUUGGCAAUAACCAUCCUGGGAGAUGAACAGAAACGAAGCUACAUCCACCACAAGAAAACAAACAUUGGUUAAAAUCAGAUCCAACACUAAGGGUAAUGCUUUUGAUAAAAGUAUAUGAGUCUUGAGUUCAUGGUUAUAAGAAACUACAUUCCAAAAUAGAGCAUAUAAUUGGAAACCUACAUCCAACGCAUAGGCACUAACCUCGUUCUCCUAGACGCCUCUGCCCCGCUCCACUGCGCUAGGGAAGUAGAUUACCUUUUGCUGCCAAAAAAAUGACCGUGUUGGCCCCAUAAUCAGGUCUCCCAAAAAACAGAAUCCUUCAUCGGUGCCUUGCUGGACAAGAGUGCAGCUGGUGUAGUGAAAGUUAGCUUUAUCAAUUUUAAAAAAUAAUCGACAGUAUAAUUUUAUCCAAAACUCCUGCUUCUCCCUACACCGAUAUGUCAAAUCAAUUGAAAGGCUUUUCUUUACGGGAGCAUGCUCUCAAGGGAGUUUCAGUUCAUUUCAUAGUCAUGCUUAAGUUAUUUGAUGUCCCUUUUAUGCUCCUGUUUCAAAUAAACACUUGUUAUGUUGAUUUUAUGGGUCAGCAGAAGCUUGUGAUACAUUUAACUACCUCUUCCAUUGAUAACAGUAUGCUAUUUGCUUUUCCUAAUUCUUCCUUCAAACUUCAGGAUUCUGUGUGAAAUUUUCAGCUGAAUAAUAGCAAAUGGAAAUAGUCGGAGACACACAUGAAUUAAAUUGCAUAAAGCUACCAUUUUCCAUUGAACGUAAUCUCUUAUCAGAUUUCAAGCUCUAAUCAGGAAUAAAAUUAGAAAAAUUUGUACAAUUUAGAAAUUAAUAUAGAAUGGAAGGCAACCAAAUUCACAAGCUCUAGAGCACUUGUUUAAGCUAUUCCUAUGAGAAAAAUAGUACAUUGGAGUCUGAGGUGUCAAAACAAAAGAAAUUAUAGUCCUCCCAUCAACUCAAUCUCCUAGGUGUAAAGGACAUCAUACAAAUUGAAGCCAAGAUCAUCAACUGAACUAAUUUCAUCUACAUCCAGUAGUUAACAUCUGAGAUGAAAACUAAUUUAGUUGAGCCAUCAUUUUAGAAUUAGAAAUUUAUCAACCUUCAUGUAGCAAUCUACCUGGUUGGUGAAUUUGAAUAAGGUUUCCGUGUGCAACCUUCUUAAACGCUCAUUAUCUGUGCAACACAAACAAUUAAACUCAAUGCUUCUUGCGACCUCAACAAGCAAUGGAAAUUACGUAUUACACGAUUUUGCACUAAGACGAAAGAAAAUACUGAAGCUAUACUGGAGAAGAAUGCUGAAAUUUCAGUGAAACCUCUGUUGAGAUCUGCUAUAUGCGACUCGGGAGCUUCACGCUGCUUGGGUCAGAGCUGCAAUCCAUUCUUAGAGCCUGUUCGCAACCUCUCCAAUCUCAAAACUCCGCUCCGCGCUGUAGAGGAGACGAGGACCUCGGUUUGAGCCACUCCCUGAUUUGUGCUGCCGCUCCCUUUUUUUUAGAACGAAGGCUCAAGGAGAGCCCGGCUUUGAAUUAACAAAGCCAUCAACCGGCUAGGAUUACAAGAACACCAACUUACAAGGAAAGCAAGAAGAGAAACAAGCGGCUGAUACAGGGAGCAAAGCGAAACAGACUCAAAGGCAGUAGCGAUAGCACACGCCAUGCUGCCGCCAACACCCUACAGGACGACCUACACCAACCGGACAGGCAACGGGCUUGAGAGGAUGCACCACCGCGCAAGCUUCGUGAUCGUAGCCAAACUCGAAGACAGCACUGACACUCCUCUGGAACUGCCACUGCAAAGGGCCCCUGCCCUCUCAUCCUGGCUCGAAGAAUGCCGCACCGGCAGGCUGCAGCUCGGUUCACCCUUGAACCCAGGGGAAGACGUCCAAGCUGCUCAUGAAGAAAGAACUAGGAGCAGACCUGCUAGCACAGAGCACGCCCUUCCGAGCACCGUCGUCGUCCGCGGUUAAGCCACACCGAAGGGCUAGAGCUGCCGGCCACAGUCGCAGCAACAAGGGCAAUAGCGAUGAGCCACCGAAGAAAAGGCAGUUAAGCGUCGAGCCAAGUUGCCACCCGCCACCAUCACACCCACAACCCGACUCUCUCGCCGCCCCUGCGAUCCCCGGACUGCGCCUCCAAGAAGGAACACGACACGGAUGUGUCGUCGCCGCCCGAAACAGGGGACCUAGGCUUUCACCUAGCAGUGAACGGAAGGAGGGGGAGAAGGAUCCUCACCACAGCCUCUAGGGAGGGGUACGACGCCCAGGGCGUCGCCUGCGAUGUGGCUGCGCCGACCAAGGGUUUCCCCCGAAACCAACCCCACUCGACGAGAUCCGCGCUGCCGACGCCCGGGAGGUCCGGCGAAGGAAGGAGCAGAUCGGGGGCGGAGAGGGUGAGAUGCAUCUGGCGACGGCCGCCGCGCAGGGGAGGCCGCACACCAGCGACCGUGGACCGGCGCCUCCUCGUCCCCCGCGAGACCGAGGGCGGCGCCUCACCAGCUCCGGUCGGAGUGGCCCGCCGCCCGGGCCACCCGACGCUCUCCGCCCGGGGCUGCCGGCCCGGAUGCCGAGCCCUCCACGCUAGGUGGAGCCGCCAGAUCCCCCGCCGCCACCUUCAUCGGUGUCGAGCGCACGCCGGCGCACACCUCUGGCGGCGGCGGAGGGGAAGGGGAGGGGGAAGGAGGGGUGCGGCGNNNNNNNNNNNNNNNNNNNNNNNNNNNNNNNNNNNNNNNNNNNNNNNNNNNNNNNNNNNNNNNNNNNNNNNNNNNNNNNNNNNNNNNNNNNNNNNNNNNNNNNNNNNNNNNNNNNNNNNNNNNNNNNNNNNNNNNNNNNNNNNNNNNNNNNNNNNNNNNNNNNNNNNNNNNNNNNNNNNNNNNNNNNNNNNNNNNNNNNNNNNNNNNNNNNNNNNNNNNNNNNNNNNNNNNNNNNNNNNNNNNNNNNNNNNNNNNNNNNNNNNNNNNNNNNNNNNNNNNNNNNNNNNNNNNNNNNNNNNNNNNNNNNNNNNNNNNNNNNNNNNAUCCCAGUCAGGAAGAACCUCCGCUCCGGGAGCCGCAGUUGUGGAGCGGAGAGAAUCCGAACAGGUCCUUAAAGCCUGGGCAUGCAUUAGUGCAUCUUUAUACCCAUGUCCAGAACAACAAAAUAGUAAACCAUAGAAGAUCAACACAGCGCAGGAAAUAAAUACUUAGACAUAUAUCAUCUUCCUUAGACAAUAAAAACUGGUAGAUUAGAUGUCAAGUGGCAACACUCGAAUUCUGGAAGGAGUAGAAAUUAAAAACAUCACUCUCUCCUGCCCCCACAGACUAUCCUACAUGUAUUUUGGUUCACAUAGGAACUGAAAUAAAUGUCCACGGUCCAGCAAGUAAUAAUUUGAAGAGGGUUCGACAUGUCGAGCGUUGGAGUUGAACUACUGUAAAUAGGAGAGACAAUCUUCAACAUAACCAACUGUCUACAACCUGCACCACAAGAUCGGCCAAAUAUGCAAUCCAACUUGAAGGGAAGCUGCUGUAAAUACAACACUAACUCCCUGGAUGCUAACUGCUCUAGAUUCCACCAAUGUCGUCAAAGAUUACUAUCUAUUCGACGCUCUGCAUGUCAUAGGCAUUUCAUCUAACACCUGAGCCUGUGGAAGUUCAGCAGGAGUGACUCGCGUCUACACAUAUAUGUAGGGAUUUGCCCACAGGAUCAAUCACAUCAAAUCACCCAACGAACACACGCACAACAACUGAUAGCCAAGGGCGCGUCUCGCACCCUCUAAUUCCUCUCCUUAUUGAUUUUCUCUUUUUUUCUGUGCUACAAAACUUACAGCGUGCUGUGUAUAUAUAUACACACAACCAGCCGAACCCACAACUUGCUAGACGUACACGAAAUCCACCUCUAAACCUAGCCGCGUACAGACUCCUAUUCCUAAUACUACUAGGACAUCAAUCAGACUUUCUAUACGACUAGAACAUGGACUCUCACUUACGGAGUACUACCUAAACUAAUCAACCGGCAAGCUUAAUCACUCUUAGACAUAACUCAUCGUAACCGGAGGACUCUCCUAAUCAAACUUACCAUAUGUUUGGAUUAUUUCAACAUUCACCCCCUAAUCCAAACAUCCGACAUUUUUUACUCAACGAGACACGCAGACGAUCACCUCUUCAUCUUGUCUCAUCGAUUGCCUCCGGCGACGCGACUUACCGGGCCACAGCUUCUCUCUUCUUGCAACGAUGGCCACCACAUCAUCACCAUCUCUUCUUUCUCACACCGACUUAUGGACUGGACCAACGAUUACCCGGACUACCAGCCACGCUGCCACAUCUUAGCGUGCUACAUGCCGACUAAACGCAUAGCCUCAUGCAGGAACUCAACUUAUCUGGUGCACGUCCUCUUCACGUUGAUCUUCAUCUUCUCGUCAAUUGCUUGUGCACGGGGAGACACAUCUUUUCACCCGCCACAUCUUCACUUUCCCGUUGUCAUUGUCGCCGAUGCCACAUCGUAUCGAACGACACCUCAUGUCCAGCGGCAACACAACUCGCCAUAUACGUGCAACUCAUGUCCACCGUAUAUGAACUCACCGGAAUUCCACGACCAUGAACGGAAACACAACGCACAAUUUCCUUUUUCCAUCCGCCCAAUAUCUCAAUUCUCCUCGCCAGUGACGCAUCUCAACUGCAGCAGAAGAUUCACACACCCGAACUCUUGGACGCAUCUUACAAGAACUCAUGUGCACACCUUGAUGAAGGCUCACAACUUCGCCAUCUCCAUCUUGCAUCCUCCAACGAUGAUCUUGAUGAUUUCCUCGGUGUCGCAACUUCGGCACCUCCAUAACCAUCAACAAUCACUAGUGCCUUGUCGACAACAGCUUGUCGCCCUUCUCCUUGUUGUUCCGCCGAACAACAAUCACCUGUCGCCUCGCUUGCGACGGCACCCUCACUGCCUUGUCGUCACUUCGCGCACAACUAUUGCCUUAUAGUCCUCGUCGCUGCACCACCCAGCGACCAUAUCACCCGCUCGUCGUUGUCGCUACAUCAGCGACUGUAUCGCCCGCCCCGAGGCGCUAGUCGGGUCGCCACCCCGGGGCAAGCGCAGCUUCACCUCGACCUUGCUCUGAUAUCAAUUUAGGGAUUUGCCCACAGGAUCAAUCACAUCAAAUCACCCAACGAACACACGCACAACAACUGAUAGCCAAGGGUGCGUCUCGCACCCUCUAAUUCCUCUCUUUAUUGAUUUUCUCUUUUUUUCUGUGUUACAAAACUUGCAGCGUGCUGUGUAUAUAUAUACACACAACCAGCCGAACCCACAACUUGCUAGACGUACACGAAAUCCACCUCUAAACCUAGCCGCGUACAGACUCCUAUUCCUAAUACUACUAGGACAUCAAUCAGACUUUCUAUACGACUAGAACAUGGACUCUCACGUACGGAGUACUAUCUAAACUAAUCAACCGGCAAGCUUAAUCACUCUUAGACAUAACUCAUCGUAACCGGAGGACUCUCCUAAUCAAACUUACCAUAUGUUUGGAUUAUUCCAACAAUAUAUUGGCACCUAUACAGCAGCGGCAGUAGCACGAGCUAGCAACAAGCACAAAAUAAAGUAGCAAGAUAGCAGUAGUACCAGGAGAAGCUCAACAAAUGGCUUGGCUUCCUACAGGUACACUGGGAUUUGUUUCUCGCUAUACAAAACUGCCAGCAUUAAUCUUCAGAAACUUUAUAUUGUAAUAAAUUCAAUGACAAGGAGAGAGAUCAGGAGCAGAGGGGGAAGAAGAUCACCUUGGCAUCAACCAUUGCUCGAUGCAGGUGGUCGCAGCAUGGUGAGGAAACCGGCACCAGGACUCUCGUCCAGACCGCUCUACCGCCUCCCGUGUCGACGCAGAUAAUAGAU